GCCUUUACUGGCCUGCAUUUUGCACCACAUGCUAUAUUAAUGGAACAGCUCCUCUCCCAGCUUGCUCUGAGGAUGACCUGGUGAUGGGCACCAAAAGCAAGAAGGCUGGGCAGACAGAAAGAGAGAAGUGUGAAAACUGAGGAGAACACAUAAAUAUCUAAAUAAAUACAGUCUCUUCUCCUGGCUUUGGUUUUCCAUCCUGCCCGUGGGCUUGUGUUUGAGACAUUACAGUCUGUUGCCAUAGCACUUGUCCUGGUACCAAAGGGCCAGCUAACUGGUGUUUGCAUCAAGGCAAGUUAAUAAAAUUAUAUUCUGCUGAUGACCAAAGGACAAAAAUUACCUUUUGCUUUUUUCCCUUUUUCAAGCAGAGAGUCAGGGACUAAAGGAUAAAAGGGAUGCAGAAGUUUCUAGAACUAAGUAAAGCCAUGCAGUCAGGUCAGCUUAGUUUUUGCAUUUAUUUCAUCAGAAUUCAGCCCUUUUCUAUUCUAGUUUAUUCUAGAUGAAAUUUCAACCCUUCUACCAGCCCCACUGUAGCUCUCAGCACUUCCCAGGGGUUUGGGGUUGUUGGGAAGAUGUAAUGGAAUGUUUCUUGGAGUAGUAGAAGUGCUUCUUGCAGCAGGUCUCACACUCAGCAGAGCCUGCUGUUCUCUGAAGGAGCUGAUAUCAUCUAUUCCUGCCCAGUUCUCCAACAACUGGAGUGAUUUCAGUCUGAGCAGGCAAAGACAUCUUCCACAGUGUCUGCUGUGUCAGUGCUCAGGGUAUCAGAGGCUGCUUACCAUUUCUUGGGUUUCUUUUCUUUCAGGCCUUGUGAAAAUUGCUGAUUUUGUGAGAAGCAAACUGUAAAGGAGAUCUGCUUGUUUAUACAGAGACCAGCUGGCAGUCCACCACACCAUAUCACACGAUACCAUACCGUACCAUACCAUACCAAGCGUACCUCAUCUCAGAAAGUGUCUGAACAAGUGACACCAGGGUAACCCUGGGCCUCUAGACACAGCAAGUAAUAGUCAAUAUAAGUGAAUAGUGGGCCACAGAAGCCAAAUGAAUUAAAAGACAGUUCAUCUGCUCUCAUUGCUGACAGAAUAUUAGAGGAGGAAUAAAAAAUCUAUUAUUUAGUCUUGCAACACUGAUUUGCUAAUAAUUUAUUGCUUAUGGUGUAUCCCAUGCAGUCAGCAGAGUAUGGCUCAGAGAGGCACUUAUGAUGUUCAACAGGAAAAAAAGGAAUUUGCAUUUUGAAUGCUGAUGUUACAGGUUCCCCCUUACUCUGGAGAAGAAAUAUACAGGGAGCAUUAAAUCAUGCAGCACUUUUAGGCAUUUUUCUCUCCUUCCUUGUGACAGCAAUAUUAAGUUGUUCAGUUCUGUGGGAGUUAUUAACACCUUCAGAGUCACGCUUAGGGCUGGAGGUGCUGGAAAGGAGAAGAAUAAUGGAAUAUCCUCAAGAACACCACAGAAAGAAUGGAAUCAAUUUUCUUGAACAAAGACAAGGAUUCUUAGGCUCUGAGUCACACAUCAUGAAUUUCUGAAGUGUCACAUUUAGAUGGAGGAGAGAGAAUUACACUGGGACAUGAAAAAAUGCCUGUUUGACUUCUUAAAGAGAGAAGGCUUAAGCUUUGUAAGACAUGUGGUACAGAAGAUUGUUCUGACAGGCUUGUGCUGUAUGGAAGGUAGAGAUCACUGCUUUCAUGCUUCAGGGGAAAGCCUCAGCAGCACAGGACAGAGUUGGUGUGGCUGUUACCAAUGUUCAUCCUACUUAGCAAGCCAAGAUAAGACUUCAGAAUCACUCAUUGAUCCGUGACUCUGAAAGGGACUUUUUCAAGAGUGGAAACACCUUGAUUCAUCCUGCUGUAGUCUUUGUGAUGCUGGGCAUGCUGUGGUCAUCAUCAAGGUUCUCGUUUGCUGCAGCUUUGGACUGGAGGAUGCUGGUGACCACACGUGGAGGAUCAGAACCUAACUGAUACCAGUGUUGCCAGUCUAGAGAAGAUACCGACUAAAAUAGCAGCCUCUCUUAUGAAUGAUGAGUUUGGUGUGAUUGAGAGCUGCCCAGCAGUACAGCCACGCUCUCUUCCUGUGACACAGAGCACAUGAAUACCCGAAUGUGGAGCUGAAAAAGAAAGAAUGGCUGGGAUGAAGGGAAUUUCUGCAAGUCUCUACUCUCUGCACCUGGGUAGGAAACAACAGAGCUGGAGUAAUUGUUCAGUGCCCAGUGGUGAACAGAAAAGCAGGUUUUUAGAAGCUAUGAGGAAAAGGAGAGGGAGAAGCUCUACUGUGCCUGCCUCUUGCAUUAAUGAUGUGAAUGAAUGGAAGUACUGGAAAUGUGAAUAUUCUUAGUCCACCUGAGAACCAGUGGCAGAAUUUGCUCCAUAUUUCACACUCUGGUCCAGGCACCACUUGCUCCAGCAGUCUGAUUUCAGGCUCACCAGAGCCAGGGGCUUGUCAUCCCUUAGCCCUUCACAGGUAUACAGGGGCCUUCAAAACUGAAGAAAGCUGUGAACUCACAGACAUCUCUGGUCCACUCUGCAGGCUUUUACAUACAUCAAGAGAAAGAGGAAAAAUAUUUUACAGCAAACCAGAAGUGUCCUAAAUUAAG